rnacentral:rRNA from 1 species
UACAGAGGGUGCGAGCGUUAAUCGGAAUUACUGGGCGUAAAGCGUGCGUAGACGGUUAUUUAAGUCGGGUGUGAAAGCCCCGGGCUCAACCCGGGAAGUGCACUUGAAACUGGGAGGCUAGAGUAUCGGAGAGGUUGGUGGAAUUCUCGGUGUAGAGGUGAAAUUCGUAGAUAUCGAGAGGAACACCGGUGGCGAAGGCGGCCAACUGGACGAAUACUGACGCUGAGACUCGAAAGCGUGGGGAGCAAACAGG